rnacentral:rRNA from 1 species
AACGUAGGAGGCGAGCGUUAUCCGGAUUUACUGGGUGUAAAGCGCGUGUAGGCGGUCGUGCAAGUGAGGCGUGAAAGCGCCCGGCUCAACCGGGCGAGGACGCAAUCGAACUGCGCGACUAGAGGUAGGUAGAGGCGUGUGGAAUUCCGGGUGUAGUGGUGAAAUGCGUAGAGAUCCGGAGGAACACCAGUGGCGAAGGCGACACGCUGGGCCUGACCUGACGCUGAGAUGCGAAAGCAUGGGGAGCGAACGGG